GCUUGAUUAAUGAUUCAUUAAUUACUCCAUGACAAGAACAUCUUGCAUGGUUUUAUAUGCUAACAUAACGUCACUUUAUAUACACAUACCUACAUAUUAACUAAGCAACUAAUCAUCAACUUAAGUAUUAAAGUAACACAUCUAUUCAAUAUAGGUAUCAUGGUGGACCUCCUUGAUGAUUGCGAUUAUUAUGGCAAGAAGAAGAAGCCAAAGCAAGAAUAGAGCUUGCGAGUUGAUUAAUGGCGUCUACCAAACCAUUCAUACCUUGUCUAUUUAUUUCAGUUUUUGAUUCCUCAAUCUUUAGUCUCCUCUCUUGUAGCCUCACCACUUCCUUAUGCCUCCUCUCUUGUCCCUCCUCAUUCUCUCUUAUCACUUGUGUGAUCACAGACGUGCAUCUAGACAACGCCACCCCAACCGCAUCCUCCUCUACCUCCCUCUCUCCUCCAGCGGUGGUUUCUCCCGGCGUUGUUCUCCUUCGCUUUGUCGAUGAUGUACCUGAAUGCUUUAAGAAUAAGAAGAGAGAUAAAACGGAAGGUACCUACUGUGGGCGGUAUAGGCUCAGCGUGAAAUGAAGACGAUGGUGGAGGUUGAGGCGGCGAAGGAAGUGAUAAGCUAAGAGACUGUGGCGGUGGUGGCGGAAGAGAUAACACUAUAGUAGUCGGGAUUUGAUGCAUCGGCUGAGCCAUCAUCGGAGCUACAAAUCCUAAACUUUGUUGGCAAACUCUUAGGAUCUGGCCACCGUUACCGUUUCCUACGGCGGCGGCGGCGGAGGAGGAGGAAGGAAGAGUUUUUCUGUCAACAAGCUCAGACAACACGUCGUAUAUCUGAGGCAACAUGUUACUCGGCAAGUUCUUCUCUUUCCUCUCAGUCUUGUCCAUCUUCCAGUAAGAGGAAGAAGUGACGGUGUUAAAAGACGAUUCUACCCUUGAUCUCUCGUACUCUCUGAUCUUCUUGUAAUCCCUCAUGAGAUUGUCCCACUUAUCGUUGCACUGAUUCUGGUUGCGGUAACAUCCUCUUCUCCAGCAAUACUCCUCUAUCCAUUUCCACCGGAGCUCUGCUGGUUUGUUUCUGCCUUCAGGUUGUUUUUCCGAUCGCCGUACACGCCUCUGGUCGUCCAUCUUCUUGGCUUCUAUGAGAACCAAAGUCUCACUCACUGUCCAAUUCCCUUUUCUGCACUCUCUCAUAACUAUCUGUUCACCACUCGAUGGAUCAGCGUCAGCCAUAUAUGUGUCUCUUUGGAUUUACCAAGAGGUAGCCAUACGUGUGUCUUUGAAUCUUGAAUUCAUGAACUAGAGAGAGAAAGAAAUAAGUGUUGGAGAAAGGGGAGAAGAAAGAGAUGAGCCAAAGACCGGUCAAAGUCUUUUGUUUUCUAGUACUAAGAUUGUCACCAAGUUCGAAAAGACAGUGAUUCCAAUAAUGAGAAAAUAUGAAAAACAAAGCAAGUUUUUUUAUUCUAUGUUUCCUACUAAAUUAAAUAAUUGAACACCUAUCCUUUUUCUUUUCUUAUCUAUGUUUCACGUGAUG
rnacentral:lncRNA from 1 species